UGGUAAUUAGUUUAAAAAAAACAAAUGAUUUCGACUCAUUAAAUUAUGAAUACCCAUAAUUGCCAA
rnacentral:tRNA from 2 species